AUGGAUAUGAUGGAGGCAAACAAGACUCUGGUGAUGGAGUUUGUUCUCACAGGACUCACAGAUCUCCCAGGGCUGCAGGUCCCCCUGUUCCUGGUGUUCCUGGUCAUCUAUCUCACCACCAUGGUGGGCAACCUUGGACUGAUUUUUCUCAUCUGGAAGGACCCCCAUCUUCACACCCCCAUGUAUUCAUUCCUGGGAAGUUUAGCCUUUGCAGAUGCUUGUUCUUCCUCUUCUGUGACUCCCAAGAUGCUAAUUAAUUUCUUAUCUGUGAAUCACACGAUAUCCCUAGUUGAGUGCAUCUCCCAAUUUUAUAUUUUUGCUUCCAGUGCAAACACAGAAUGUUUUCUCCUGGUGGUGAUGGCCUAUGACCGCUAUGUAGCCAUAUGCAAUCCCUUGCUUUACCCAAUGGUGAUGUAUAAUAUCUUCUGCACCCAAUUAAUAGGUGUUUCGUAUAUUAUUGGGUUUCUUCAUCCCAUGAUGCAUGUGGGUUUGUUAUUCAGAUUAACUUUCUGCAAAUCCAAUGUAAUACAUUAUUUCUACUGUGAAAUUUUACAACUAUUUAAGAUGUCGUGUACUGACCCUAGAGUUAAUAUGCUCCUGAUCUUUGUAUUUUCAGUCUUUAUACAGUCUUUCACUUUUAUGAGUAUCAUUAUCUCUUACACCCAUGUUCUCCUUGCCGUCCUGAAAAAGAAGUCUGCAAAGGGCAGGAACAAAGCCUUCUCCACCUGCAGUGCCCACUUGCUGUCUGUUUCCUUGUUCUAUGGCACUCUUUUCUUCAUGUAUGUGCGUCCUGGGUCUCGAUCAGCUGAAAAGCAAGAUAAACUAUAUUCUUUAUUCUAUACAAUCAUAAUUCCUCUGCUAAAUCCUUUUAUUUACAGUCUGAGGAACAAAGAGGUUAUAGGUGCUUUGAAGAGAAUAAUAAGCAAAAUUAGAACUGUUCUUUUCAAA
rnacentral:lncRNA from 1 species